rnacentral:rRNA from 1 species
GAUGAACGCUGGCGGCGUGCCUAAUACAUGCAAGUCGAGCGAACGGACGAGAAUUUUGCUUGUCUGCUGUUAGCGGCGGACGGGUGAGUACCACGAAGAUAACCUACCUAUAAGACUGGCAUAACUUCAGGAAACCGAAUAUCACAUCGGUUAUUAUUUUGAACCGCAUGGUUCAAAAGAGAAAGCGGUUCUUGCUGACACUAAUACAUGUAUCCACGUUGCAUUAGCUAGUUGUUAAGGGAACGGCCUACCAUGGCAACGAUGCAUGGCCGACCUGAGAGGAUGAUCAGCCACACUGGAACUGAGACACGGUCCAGACUCCUAAGGGAGGCAGCAGUGGGAAAUAUUCCACAAUGGGCGAAAGCCUGACUGAGCCAAGCCGCGUGUGUGAAGAAGGUCUUCGGAUCGUAAAACACUGUUAUUAGGGAAGAACCUAUGUAGGAGUAUCUUUGCCCGUCUUGACGGUACCUAAACAGAAAGCCACGGCUAACUACGUG